rnacentral:tRNA from 1 species
GUGGUUGAUAGCUCCGGUCUUGAAAACCGGUAUAGUUCUAGGAACUAUCGAGGGUUCGAAUCCCUCUCUCUCCU